rnacentral:rRNA from 1 species
UACGUAGGGGGCAAGCGUUGUCCGGAAUCAUUGGGCGUAAAGAGCGUGUAGGCGGCCAGAUAAGUCCGCUGUGAAAUCUCGAGGCUCAACUUCGAGCUGUCGGUGGAAACUGUCUGGCUAGAGUCCGGAAGAGGAGAGUGGAAUUCCUGGUGUAGCGGUGAAAUGCGCAGAUAUCAGGAAGAACACCCGUGGCUAAGGCGGCUCUCUAGUACGGUACUGACGCUGAGACGCGAAAGCGUGGGGAGCGAACAGG